rnacentral:rRNA from 1 species
UACGUAGGUGGCAAGCGUUAUCCGGAAUUAUUGGGCGUAAAGCGCGCGCAGGUGGUUUCUUAAGUCUGAUGUGAAAGCCCACGGCUCAACCGUGGAGGGUCAUUGGAAACUGGGAGACUUGAGUGCAGAAGAGGAAAGUGGAAUUCCAUGUGUAGCGGUUAAAUGCGUAGAGAUAUGGAGGAACACCAGUGGCGAAGGCGACUUUCUGGUCUGUAACUGACACUGAGGCGCGAAAGCGUGGGGAGCAAACAGG